CCCACAAGACCAAACUAACUUCAGCUCAGAAGGACUGACGAAUCUCCAUUUUUUUGUUGUGAUGCGCGAGUACAAUGUUGUUCUAGGAUUCUUUCUGGUGAGUUCCAUUUUUCUAAAAGUGUGCUCUACAUGGACCAUGUAUGUGCCUGUUGAAACUGUCAAUUCAUAAUACAGUUUGCUUUAUACUAAUCACUUUUUUGUAUUUGUGCAAACAUGGGUGCUCAGCUUGAUUUCAAUGGGAACUGCAUAAAAUGUUUAUGAAUACAUCGAAUCAUUCAUUUCCACCACAAGAAAGGAGGUGCCGAUAAGUUCAAGGCGUUGCAACAUAUAAAGGCGAAAUCAUACAAGCUAUGCACGAAUUUGGUUGAUUUUGGUGGAACUGCACAAAAAGAACAGCUGGUUUAUUUAGCACGAGGUGCCAUGUCAAUGUUCGAA
rnacentral:lncRNA from 1 species